AGUGGGAUAGCUGGGUCAAAUGGUGGUUCCAUUCCCAAUUUUUUGAGGAAUCUCCAUAUUGCUUUCCGUAGUGGUUACACCAGUUUGCAGUCCCACCAGCAAU
rnacentral:pre_miRNA from 1 species